UCAGCUUCUGUCCUCCAGGACCGUAUGGGGAACACGCAGGAUUCAGCUAAACAGAAAACAACACAGAGGAGAGAUACGUCUACCGGACCUUAGAAUGGCCGGACUCGACGUAUAUGAGAGGAGACAGAGUCAGGAACGAUCCGAAAUCAAGGGCACAGAGAGACAGCGUAAACUAGGACAAGCCGGGGUCUGGUACACAGUAAACAGCAAGCCGACAACCAGAACAGAUAAGGAUUAAGAGAAAAC